rnacentral:lncRNA from 1 species
CCCCCUCUAAAUCCGCCUCUGAUAACGGUAAUCACUCAAAACGAGAGUGUACUGUCAUUGGUGCCGAUCAAUCAUAUUUAUUUACAGUGAAGAAAAGUGCCAUUCAUUUUUGAUUAAUUACAAACAAAACGCUUGACUGAUGACCAUGAUGAAUAAUGCGUAUGUGUGAUGCUAAUGAAUGAAAGAAUAAAAUUGCGAAGAAAAGUGACAUUAAUGUUUUGGUUUCCAAAUGAACCGCAAACUAAGAAUGCCUAAAGUUGGGACUGAAUGCCAAACUCAAACUUCAGACUCUGUUCCGACCACAUCUUUAGCAAACAUGUUGAGAAAUGAAGCAAGCCAUACCGUAGGUCAUCUUAGGUCACAGGUGUACAGUACAGAUGAUUCCGAAAUACUUGGUAUAGUUCGAAGUUAUAAUCUAGUGUUGUCAUGCCACAUGAGGAGAUAAUACGUAGUUAUUACGCAAUAUUACUUCGUACACUUCGAAUUUGUUUACAUCCUUUGUUCCCUAUCGAUUUUGCAAGUGUGUUAGGAGUAUAGCUCUGAUACUCAAUUUAAUAUAUAUUUCAUUCAAUGUUCGCUCACAAAAAUCAGAUAUUGAUCUUUAUAUAUCAUCAUUUGAUUUUAACUUCUGUUAUUUUAAUAACAUAAUCAUAUGUAUUCAUCAAUCUUCCUUGAGACAGAAACAAAUACUAUUCCUAUGUAUGUGUCCAUAUUUUUUUUUUAUAAAUUCUUGUAAAGCAUGAACCUUAAUAAUUUUAAAAUAUAUUACUGUCAAAUUGACCAUUUUCAUUUGAAUUAUCCAGCUUCAUGCUGAAAUCGUCCUUGCAAAAAGGAAACCCCACCAAUUCCUAUAACUUAUUCUGAACCUGUAAAUAGGUCUGGUUUUCUAUUUGCUCAUGUAAAAUAAAAAAAGAAUUACAAGGUGUAUUGCAUUAUGCAUUUUUACAUAUAUUUCCAAUGUGCCUGGAUAUACAUAGGGAAGGUUUGACAGGAAGCUGGAUAUUUGAACCAAAAAAAAGAACAAAAACUUGCAUAGGAUCCAGAAUGCAAGGGUGUAAUUUUGUCCUUUUUCAAAGGUGGUUGGGGAAACUAUGGGUUGCCACCACCUUCUUAUGACCAAUUUUGUGAAAGUUAAAUUGCAUAAAUGAAACUAAAAUAACUUACUUCUGACUUUAGAAUUAAGCUUGCAUUUGUGUUAUCACUUUCAUGAAUGUAUCCCCUACCAUUCACAGACUUAUUUUUCAGUCCAUUUCUUCAAUAAUUGUUGUACCUAUAAAAAGAAUGCAAAAAAAUGAAUUAUAAAUGAUUAGAGAAUGAGAAUCAUAUCUGUCAAAUUAUUAUAUUAAACUGAUGAAAGUCUAAUUUUUGUCAAAUUUCAAGUUAACAUCUAUUUUUUAUUCCAUUUGGAAGGUAUAUUAAAUUUCAAAGAAAUAAUGGGCCCAGUUGGUAUAUGAUAACACGAUUAAAUCUAUUUCUUUUUUGAAAAUGUUAACUAAGUAAUAAGGGAAUAAAAUGUAUUUUGAACCAAUAGACUACUUUCGAGUUUGUUGUAUUCCCGUCAAAAAAUUAGAUUUAAGUGAACAUCACUGAUGCGUUUAGGGCCAUAGGCUCUUCCUUCCUUUGUUGAGUGAGGGGUUGAAAAAAAUUAUUGCUAUAUAGCCCGAAUUAUUUUGCAAAUUGAAUUAUUAUAAUUGAUAACGCUGCUGUACAUGUUCAUAUGGAGCAAACAUUAUUUUCUAGUUUAUUCUACGUGAUAAUCACAAAGACGUUUGAUGAAAUUUGAUAGUGCAGGGAUAUAGGUGAUCUCCACGACAUAAAGGCACGCAUAAUUGACCAAUUUUCCGGUGAAGGAUUCAUCUCGAAAGAAGUCUAUGUUUUGGUAUAACUAAAACUUUAAUGGGUUAGAAUAUUUCACCCACCAGCUCCAUCAAAUGUCUAAACAGUAAAGGUCUUUAAAGUAAUUUAGAAAUGAGAAAGAACACCGUUAGAAUAAAAACUGUGUGCUUUAGAGUCUUAGCAAAUUAUGUGAUGUACAUAUUAUUUAUUUAUUACUUAUGUUGUGUAUGCUACACGUAUAAUUGUUAAAGCUCAGUCCCGAU